GCAGACGGAAGCUGGGCGGGAACAGCUCCGGGCAGAGUUUCGGGUUCGUGGGUUCAAAUCCUACCGUCUGCGCCA
rnacentral:tRNA from 1 species